AAUUUGACAUACCUGAAGGUUUAACUGCGAAGAAGAAGGUUAUGUCCACCGUUGGGACCAGAUGGAGGCAAUUUAAGUCCUCCCUGACGACCAGAUAUGUAUAUGCUGAGAAUGACGAUGAACAAAACAAGGAUCCAUCUGCUAAGUAUGGUAUUGAUCGAAAUACAUGGGAAGAAUUUGCAAAGACUCGACAGACCCCUACUUGGAAGGGAAUACGCAAAAAAGCACAGGAAAUUCAAAAAUUCAAUGAAUCUCCCCACGUACUCUCUCGUGGAGGCUACGAUGUGCUUGAAAAAAAAUUAAUGGCCGAGAAAACAAAGUCAAGA